rnacentral:lncRNA from 1 species
UUUAACAGCAAGCAAUUCAAAAAUUGAUUGUAAAGCUCACAAGAUGCACUACUAAAAGAGAGAGAGAAGAUUUAAGACAUCAUGGUACAAUAUUUUAGUUACAGUUUCGGGUAUUUUUAGCCUAUGAAACUCUGCUGCUUCACAGAAGAAAUUGAUGAAUGUUGCUUUGAUUUUUUUUAUUUUUUAUUUUAUAGUUUAGUUGGUGACAUGAUUAUUCUCCCAUGGAAGUAGUACCCGCAGCCUUUAUAACAUGGACGCCAGGAAACGCG